rnacentral:rRNA from 1 species
AUUGAACGCUGGCGGCAUGCCUUACACAUGCAAGUCGAACGGCAGCGGGCCCUUCGGGGUGCCGGCGAGUGGCGAACGGGUGAGUAAUGCAUCGGAACGUACCCGGGAGAGGGGGAUAACCGGCCGAAAGGCUGGCUAAUACCGCAUGAACUCGGAAGAGCAAAGCGGGGGACCUUCGGGCCUCGCGCUCUCGGAGCGGCCGAUGUCCGAUUAGGCUAGUUGGUGGGGUAUAGGCCCACCAAGGCGACGAUCGGUAGCGGGUCUGAGAGGACGAUCCGCCACACUGGGACUGAGACACGGCCCAGACUCCUACGGGAGGCAGCAGUGGGGAAUCUUGGACAAAGGGCGCAAGCCUGAUCCAGCAAUGCCGCGUGGGUGAAGAAGGCCUUCGGGUUGUAAAGCCCUUUCGGCGGGGAAGAAAUCGGUCAGGCGAAUAGUCUGGCCGGAUGACGGUACCCGCAGAAGAAGCACCGGCUAACUACGUG